rnacentral:rRNA from 1 species
AGACCCGAAACCCGGUGAUCUAGCCAUGGGCAGGUUGAAGGUUGGGUAACACUAACUGGAGGACCGAACCGACUAAUGUUGAAAAAUUAGCGGAUGACCUGUGGCUGGGGGUGAAAGGCCAAUCAAACCGGGAGAUAGCUGGUUCUCCCCGAAAGCUAUUUAGGUAGCGCCUCGUGAAUUCAUCUCCGGGGGUAGAGCACUGUUUCGGCUAGGGGGCCAUCCCGGCUUACCAACCCGAUGCAAACUGCGAAUACCGGAGAAUGUUAUCACGGGAGACACACGGCGGGUGCUAACGUCCGUCGUGAAGAGGGAAACAACCCAGACCGCCAGCUAAGGUCCCAAAGUCAUGGUUAAGUGGGAAACGAUGUGGGAAGGCCCAGACAGCCAGGAUGUUGGCUUAGAAGCAGCCAUCAUUUAAAGAAAGCGUAAUAGCUCACUGGUCGAGUCGGCCUGCGCGGAAGAUGUAACGGGGCUAAACCAUGCACCGAAGCUGCGGCAGCGAACGUAUCACCCAAGACAACUUUACGGAG